UACGUAGGGGGCUAGCGUUGUCCGGAAUCAUUGGGCGUAAAGAGCGCGUAGGCGGCCAGAUAAGUCCGGUGUGAAAGUCAAAGGCUCAACCUUUGAAUGCCGCUGGAAACUGUCUGGCUAGAGUCCGGGAGGGGCGAGUGGAAUUCCUGGUGUAGCGGUGAAAUGCGCAGAUAUCAGGAGGAACACCGAUGGCGAAGGCAGCUCGCUGGAACGGAACUGACGCUGAGGCGCGAAAGUGUGGGGAGCGAACAGG
rnacentral:rRNA from 1 species